rnacentral:rRNA from 1 species
UACGUUGGUGGCAAGCGUUAUCCGGAUUUAUUGGGCGUAAAGGGAACGCAGGCGGUCUUUUAAGUCUGAUGUGAAAGCCUUCGGCUUAACCGGAGUAGUGCAUUGGAAACUGGGAGACUUGAGUGCAGAAGAGGAGAGUGGAACUCCAUGUGUAGCGGUGAAAUGCGUAGAUAUAUGGAAGAACACCAGUGGCGAAAGCGGCUCUCUGGUCUGUAACUGACGCUGAGGUUCGAAAGCGUGGGUAGCAAACAGG